CACACACAGCCACCCAUCAGGUAGGCCCUGUCGUCACACACACAGCCACCCAUCAGGUAGGCCCUGUGGUCACACACACACACAGCCACCCAUCAGGUAGGCCCUGUCGUCACACACACACACAGGCCCCAGCAGGUAGGCCCUGUGGUCACACACACACACAGGCCCCCAGCAGGUAGGCCCUGUGGUCACACACAGCCCCCCAUCAGGUAGGCCCUGUCGUCACACACAGCCCCCAGCAGGGCAGCACAGAGGCCUCUUCAACCAGGGGAUGGUUGAUUGUACUUUAAUAGUUUUGUGUAUCUUAUGGUGAAUUGAUUUGAAAUGAGGUCGAGGCGAGGUACUAAGUGUGUGUGUCU
ensembl:lncRNA